UUAACUCAAAUUUGUAUGGGCGUGGAACAUUUGCCGUUAGGGGCAUUGUUCCAGCUGCAUACAAAUUUCAGGUA
rnacentral:pre_miRNA from 1 species